rnacentral:rRNA from 1 species
UACGUAGGGUGCAAGCGUUGUCCGGAAUUACUGGGCGUAAAGCGUGCGCAGGCGGUUAUGCAAGACAGAUGUGAAAUCCCCGGGCUCAACCUGGGAACUGCAUUUGUGACUGCAUGACUAGAGUACGGUAGAGGGGGAUGGAAUUCCGCGUGUAGCAGUGAAAUGCGUAGAUAUGCGGAGGAACACCGAUGGCGAAGGCAAUCCCCUGGACCUGUACUGACGCUCAUGCACGAAAGCGUGGGGAGCAAACAGG